CCUACGGGCGGCAGCAGUGAGGAAUAUUGGUCAAUGGACGAGAGUCUGAACCAGCCAAGUAGCGUGAAGGAUGAAUGCCCUAUGGGUUGUAAACUUCUUUUAUAUGGGAAUAAAAUGUUCCACGUGUGGGAUUUUGUAUGUACCAUAUGAAUAAGGAUCGGCUAAAUCCGGGCCAGCAGCCGCGGUAAUACGGAGGAUCCGAGCGUUAUCCGGAUUUAUUGGGUUGAAAGGAAGCGUAGGUGGAUUGUUAAGUCAGUUGUGAAAGUUUGCGGCUCAACCGUAAAAUUGCAGUUGAAACUGGCAGUCUUGAGUACAGUAGAGGUGGGCGGAAUUCGUGGUGUAGCGGUGAAAUGCUUAGAUAUCACGAAGAACUCCGAUUGCGAAGGCAGUUCACUGGACUGCAACUGACACUGAGGCUCGAAAGUGUGGGUAUCAAACAGGAUUAGAUACCCCUGUAGUC
rnacentral:rRNA from 1 species